rnacentral:rRNA from 1 species
GAUCUGGCUCAGGAUGAACGCUAGCGACAGGCCUAACACAUGCAAGUCGAGGGGCAGCGGAGAGGUAGCAAUACCUUUGCCGGCGACCGGCGCACGGGUGAGUAACACGUAUGCAAUCCACCUGUAACAGGGGGAUAACCCGGAGAAAUCCGGACUAAUACCCCAUAAUAUGGGCGCUCCGCAUGGAGAGCCCAUUAAAGAGAGCAAUUUUGGUUACAGACGAGCAUGCGCUCCA